AGUGAACGCUGGCGGUAGGCCUAACACAUGCAAGUCGAACGGCAGCACAGUAAGAGCUUGCUCUUACGGGUGGCGAGUGGCGGACGGGUGAGGAAUACAUCGGAAUCUACUUUUUCGUGGGGGAUAACGUAGGGAAACUUACGCUAAUACCGCAUACGACCUACGGGUGAAAGCAGGGGAUCUUCGGACCUUGCGCGAUUGAAUGAGCCGAUGUCGGAUUAGCUAGUUGGCGGGGUAAAGGCCCACCAAGGCGACGAUCCGUAGCUGGUCUGAGAGGAUGAUCAGCCACACUGGAACUGAGACACGGUCCAGACUCCUACGGGAGGCCGCAGUGGGGAAUAUUGGACAAUGGGCGCAAGCGUGAUCCAGCCAUACCGCGUAGGUGAAGAAGGCCUUCGGGUUGUAAAGACCUUUUGUUGGGAGAGAAAAGCAGCAGGUUAAUACGCCGCUGUUCUGACGGUACCCAAAGAAUAAGCACCGGCUAACUUCGUG
rnacentral:rRNA from 1 species